UACGAAGGGGGCUAGCGUUGCUCGGAAUCACUGGGCGUAAAGCGCACGUAGGCGGCUUGUUAAGUCAGGGGUGAAAUCCCAGAGCUCAACUCUGGAACUGCCUUUGAUACUGGGUGUCUUGAGUAUGGAAGAGGUGAGUGGAAUUCCGAGUGUAGAGGUGAAAUUCGUAGAUAUUCGGAGGAACACCAGUGGCGAAGGCGGCUCACUGGUCCAUUACUGACGCUGAGGUGCGAAAGCGUGGGGAGCAAACAGG
rnacentral:rRNA from 1 species